rnacentral:rRNA from 1 species
CGGGUGAGUAACGCGUGAGGAACCUGCCUCAAAGAGGGGGACAACAGUUGGAAACGACUGCUAAUACCGCAUAAGCCCACAGCUCGGCAUCGAGCAGAGGGAAAAGGAGCAAUCCGCUUUGAGAUGGCCUCGCGUCCGAUUAGCUAGUUGGUGAGGUAACGGCCCACCAAGGCGACGAUCGGUAGCCGGACUGGGAGGUUGAACGGCCACAUUGGGACUGAGACACGGCCCAG